rnacentral:piRNA from 1 species
UCAGCUGGAAGUCAUUCCUUCUGAUGUUG